rnacentral:rRNA from 1 species
UACGGAGGAUGCAAGCGUUAUCCGGAAUGAUUGGGCGUAAAGCGUCCGCAGGUGGCAUUGUAAGUCUGCUGUUAAAGAGUGAGGCUUAACCUCAUAAAAGCAGUGGAAACUACAAAGCUAGAGUGCGUUCGGGGCAGAAGGAAUUCCUGGUGUAGCGGUGAAAUGCGUAGAGAUCAGGAAGAACACCGGUGGCGAAGGCGUUCUGCUAGGCCGCAACUGACACUGAGGGACGAAAGCUAGGGGAGCGAAUGGGAUUAGAAACCCCCGUAGUCC